rnacentral:rRNA from 1 species
UACGAAGGGGGCUAGCGUUGCUCGGAAUUACUGGGCGUAAAGGGCGCGUAGGCGGACAGUUUAGUCAGAGGUGAAAGCCCAGGGCUCAACCUUGGAACUGCCUUCGAUACUGCGGGUCUCGAGUCCGGGAGAGGUGAGUGGAAUUCCUAGUGUAGAGGUGAAAUUCGUAGAUAUUAGGAAGAACACCAGUGGCGAAGGCGGCUCACUGGCCCGGUACUGACGCUGAGGUGCGAAAGCGUGGGGAGCAAACAGG